rnacentral:lncRNA from 1 species
GCCGGGCAGGGCUGUCCUUAAUGGGCCUGGUUUCGGCCGAGCUAAUUUUUCAAGGGAGGCAAGCGGGCACAUCCCACAACCUAUUUUUUUUUUUUUUUUUUUUUUUUAUUUGCACCGGGUGUCCGAGUCUCUUUGAGCCCCGACUAAUCCCAGGGGUGCACAGGCCCUCGGCAAGGAGUUUCCCGCAAGUGCACCACGGUUAAUUCAGGUUUUACUCAGUCCGAUGGCCCUCAGAAAUUGUUUGCACCCAGUGGGUUUCGAACUUGAGACCUUGAAAGGGAGCAAACCCCAAGGCUCAAGUCACAUCCCACAACCUAUUAAAAAGGUGGUUCGGCCCAAUCCGAGAUAGGGCCAGUUUGGUUUAAUUUUUUUUAUUUAGUUACAAUUUUGAAAUUAUAUUGAGUGUUUUAAGUUUGUAUUUUAUACUUCGAACUUUAAUAUUCAAAUAUUUGAACUAGCAAAUAAGUGAAUAACCAAACUAAUACUGGAAUUUGUAUCCGGAUAUAAAUUUGAAAAAAAAAAUAAUUCAAAGGAUCAACGAGUCUUUUUUUUUGAUUUGCACCGGGUGUCCGAGUCUCUUUGAGCCCCGACUAAUCCCAGGGGUGCACAGGCCCUCGGCAAGGAGUUUCCCGCAAGUGCACCACGGUUAAUUCAGGUUUUACUCAGUCCGAUGGCCCUCAGAAAUUGUUUGCACCCAGUGGGUUUCGAACUUGAGACCUUGAAAGGGAGCAAACCCCAAGGCUCAAGUCACA